CCUCUUUAUAUGGAUCGACAAGUGGUGUAGAAUCCAGGUAUAUAAACGCGUAAACUGGUGGGUUAACAAAUUAUUAAAAGUUAAUAAUGGAAGAUGGCACUGUGACUGUAGACGAGUGGACAAAAUUGUGGAAAGAUGGCAAAACAGAUUUUCACAUUUCCGAACUUUGCAACAUGUUUACUAAACACGUUGACAAACUGUUAAACAAUCGCGAAAAGGUUAAAACGUUCGUUCCCCUCUGUGGAAAAGCUGUAGAAAUGAAAUGGCUUUGGGAUAAAGGACACGAAGUUGUCGGAAUCGAAUGUGGUGAAGAAGCACUGAAAGAAUUUUUUAAAGAGAACAAAAUAGGAUACAGUAUAGUAGAAAUUCCUGAGCUUAAAGGGAAAUUAUAUAAAAGUGAUGAUGGAAGAAUACGGUUAUAUUGCUGUGAUUUUUAUCUGUUUAACGCAGGCAUUGAAAGUGGAUUUGGAGCAGUUUGGGAUAGUGGUGCUUUAAAUGCCAUCAACUUAACGGACCAGGAGAAGUAUGUUGCUAUCAUCAAAUCACUUAUGGGAAAUAAAUGCGUUAACCUCACUGUUAUCGACGACGCUACGGAUUGGGAAAUUCCAGUUAAUUUUGACAAAAUGAGGACUUGGUUUAAAGAUGAAUUCAGUGUGGAAGCAAGUGAUUAUGUGAAAGCUGACGAAAAAUUACAAUCUUUCGGUAUCAAAGGGCAACAACUGUACACUAUAUCUAAAAUAUGAAAAUGUGUCUUUACAACUUGUACAUCAAUGCAUAUCUUGUUUUAUUUUUCUUUCUGAAUAAACACAAUAAAGAAUAACUAUUCCUAAUGUCA